UAUGCAGCCACCAAACCCAGUCACUAUUGCUGAUGACAAAGAAAAGAUCUCUAUUGCCAAAGGGUACAGCAUUCCUGAAGAGAAAUAGUCUUUCUUCAGCUGAUGUUAACUGUCUCCUCAAAACCUUCCAUAUUAAGCAGAAACAUGUGUCUGAUGCCUCCUUAUCUUUUGUUCAUCCAUUCCUCCACCUGAAGCAGAAUGUGAAGACUGACAAUCCAACUGAAUUUGUCUGAUGUUUUCUCUCAUGAUUGCAAUGGGGUAAUGGAUUUUGUGAACACCAAGGAGAACUAUGAUAUUCAUCCACAUGAGAAUACUGGCAUAUUAGCAUCACCUUGUGGAGGAAACUAAAGGAGAUCAGACACACAUCACCUGACACCUCUUUUGUCAUCUAAUAGAGUACACGCAUCGAAGAAAUGACUUCUAUAGUGAGAACAGACACCCCACAAACAACACUGUAAGGAUCAGCAAAAUCAAGCAAGAAGAAUAGUUAGCAACUAUAAAUAUAGUUUCUCAAUUUGCUUCAUGUAAAUUUGAGAAAUAUGCUGUCGUGGCAUAAGAAAAUAUUACCCCAGAGAGGACAUCUGAGCCAACUGCUCCCACACACAGAAUUCCAGGCAGGCAACAGCAAUUCCUGAUGUGGGUAGCUGAAAGCCUCCUUCUUCACAGUAAAGGGUGAGUUUUGAAUAUUUAGUUCUAAGUCCAAAG
rnacentral:sRNA from 1 species